rnacentral:rRNA from 1 species
UAACCUGCCCAAGAGAUCGGGAUAACACCUGGAAACAGAUGCUAAUACCGGAUAACAACAGAUGAUGCCUAUCAACUGUUUAAAAGAUGGUUCUGCUAUCACUCUUGGAUGGACCUGCGGUGCAUUAGCUAGUUGGCAGGGUAACGGCCUACCAAGGCGAUGAUGCAUAGCCGAGUUGAGAGACUGAUCGGUCCACAUUGGGACUGAGACACGGCCCAAACUCCGUACGGGAGGCAGCACGUC